UACAGAGGGGGCAAGCGUUGUUCGGAAUUACUGGGCGUAAAGGGCGCGUAGGCGGCCUUCUAAGUCGAACGUGAAAUCCCCGGGCUCAACCCGGGAACUGCGUCCGAUACUGGAAGGCUUGAAUCCGGGAGAGGGAUGUGGAAUUCCAGGUGUAGCGGUGAAAUGCGUAGAUAUCUGGAAGGAACACCGGUGGCGAAGGCGACUACCUGGCCUGUUCUUGACGCUGAGGCGCGAAAGCUAGGGGAGCAAACGGG
rnacentral:rRNA from 1 species